rnacentral:rRNA from 1 species
UAAUCUGCGAUAAGCGCCGGUAAGGUGAUAUGAACCGUUAUAACCGGCGAUACCCGAAUGGGGAAACCCAGUGUGACUCGUCACACUAUCAUUAACUGAAUCCAUAGGUUAAUGAGGCGAACCGGGGGAACUGAAACAUCUAAGUACCCCGAGGAAAAGAAAUCAACCGAGAUUCCCCCAGUAGCGGCGAGCGAACGGGGAGGAGCCCAGAGCCUGAAUCAGCAUGUGUGUUAGUGGAAGCGUCUGGAAAGGCGCGCGAUACAGGGUGACAGCCCCGUACACAAAAGCGCAUGUGCUGUGAGCUCGAUGAGUAGGGCGGGACACGUGGUAUCCUGUCUGAAUAUGGGGGGACCAUCCUCCAAGGCUAAAUACUCCUGACUGACCGAUAGUGAACCAGUACCGUGAGGGAAAGGCGAAAAGAACCCCGGCGAGGGGAGUGAAAAAGAACCUGAAACCGUGUACGUACAAGCAGUGGGAGCCCCACCACCAAAGCAUUUGCUGUACCGCGUUGACGGAGCGAAGCGACGUCAAACCGAUAAAACAGCAGUGUAAAGUGAGCCGCAGGGCGCUUUGCGCG